AACUGAUACUACCUGCGGGAACCUGCGGAAGGAUCAUUCAAGUAAUUUUACUUAUAACAAGGAGUGUAAAGGGUGUCUGUAUGACACCCGAAACACAACUUUUCACCCCUAACUAACAAAAAGGUGUGUAAAGGAAACGGAGGUGUGGUGUGUAAUUAACACAUCACUCUGUUUUCCUUGCACCAUGAUCUAAUGGCUGAUUUGUAACGCAGCAGUGGUGGUCUUGUAUGUGGGAAUGUG
rnacentral:misc_RNA from 1 species